GUGAGUGUCCGUGGGUGCGUGUGUUGGUGUGACAACCGAUGCAGGUGCGUCGUACAGUAGGAGAUUUCUACAGCGUGGCAGGAUUCUCUGGGCACUUGGGCUCACCGUCUGCAGCCCCCCACUUCUCGUCACCCCCUUCCUUCCCCGCUCCCCCUUUCUCCUUUUGCCUUUGAUGAGUUUUUGGCUUACUUUUUGGCGGAGACGCUUGGGCACGUUUUUGCUGGUGCUGGAAGAUCAGCUACAUGGAACCUUUGAAAACUGACGAUUUUCCUCCUAUGUGACUUUAAAAAAAAGAAGAAGAAAAGAAGAGAGAGUCGUGCAUGCAAGCUAGAGGAUUUUUAAAUUUUCCGUGGUGAACUUUGAGGAUCCAUCAACAAGAAACCAAAUGAAGUGUUUACUGUCAUUAUCUGUGUUUGAUGAAGAGGAUACUGAGGCUCACAGAGAAUUAAUAAUUUGUCCAAGAUCAUCUACUGUCGUAUAAUCAAGAGUGAAUGCCCUGAAAUUACCCACACCAGCCCGGACCAGCGUUCUUUGAGGGGAAUACCUACAGAGACCCAGGAGCGGCAGAAAUGGUUCUCCUUAUUGAGAGACUGCAAGAUCACCCAGAGAGAGCAGGGCCGAGGAAGCUGGAAC